AUCAUAUCAAGCGACACAGCCAAGCGACUUUCCGCAACACACCUUAUCCCCUAAACACGCUUGUUAGUAAUAUAAUUUAAUUUGUUAUUUUGACUGUUGCAAAAAUGUUCUCAAAUAAACAAAGUCAAUAGACAUGAUUACCUUUUUAAUGUGUAAAAAUUACUUUAUAUGUCUGACUCUUCAUGGGUUACAUUAGUCAAGAGGAAUACAACAAACAUUGUUUUUAGUAUAUCAAGAAAAAGGUUUAUUGUAAAGGUUGACAUUUACAGAUAAUGACAAAAAUGAAAAUAGACUAACAAUGACAAAACAAAUUUCUAAAUCUCUACCACAGUGCAUAGUGGAAUUACAACCGAGACCUUCUCUUUAGUGUGACUUAACUGCACGGUUGAUGUACUAAGUACACGUCUGCCUUCAAUACGCUCCACAGGGAGAAAUGCUGCAGCAGUAUCAGUCUGUUCCGGCCAUUAUGUCGGUGACGUAAGGGAAUGCAACCAAUGACAUUACAGUAUCAUUCGCGCGAACACAAUUUAAAUUGUUGGCAUUGUGUACGGAAGUCAUUUUUUGCGAAUUGCAACUUGGUGAAACUGACUAUUGUUUGUGAUGGCGUGUAAAAGAAAACUGAGUUUUACUACUCCCGUGAGUAAUAGGGCUUUGCAACCAGCAGCAAGCCCACUGAGCAUAAAUGAUUUAACGAAACAGCUGAUCUCCGGUCAGAACGCUUUGUCUCGUCAAAGACCGCAAGAGGAACAAAGACCGCGGGAAGAGCCAUUACAUAAAAGGAUAAAGAGGGCGCACAACGUGGGCAUUGCGGAAGCUGUAAGGCGCCUUCACAAUUCGGAAAACAACCCACAUAAAUAUGAUCCACAAACUGGAAUAAGUUCGCCUCGUAACCAAGCAGUCAUGCAGUAUCAGCUCAGUGUUGAACAUUUAUGUCAGGAAAAGGACCAUUUACAUCCAAAUGUAAUUUGAUGCACACAGAACACAACCUAGAAAUAUAUUUCAGAAUAUAAACUGCUUAAUCGGCCAUUUUCAGUAAGAUUUAACGUUACUAAAUGUUUGUAUGCCUGUGCGUUUAACUGGAAUAAUGUCCAACAGAUAUCUGUUUUAAAGCAGUGGGUAAUUCACUGCUGAUUUGCUUAAAAUCUACUUUGCGAUUCUGUUGGCGAACAUGUUUAUGGUGCAUUCUAUUCAACCCGUUUUAUUGCUAGUGAAGCAUAAAUAGACAGCGCGGCCUUUACAAGUAAUUUGCGCAAUGUAUCUGGUUGACAUGACAACCUCACGCGCUUGCUGCUGCGCUAAUCAUAGUAAAACCGCUUUAAAUGGUACAUGGAUUGUGACUUUGUACGUUUACUACAGAAAUGCUAAAAUGUAUUUAAAAGUUUGACUAACCAAAUCGACCCCCCCCCCCGCCCCACGCGUACAGCACCCCCAACCUAAAACAUCUUCCCGCGCCCCUGGGCGGGCCUGACUGCUGAGGUCCCAUACAGAAGUCACAUAGAUCGAAAUAUAUUUAAAAUAAAUACAUUUUUAUAUAUUGAAAUAUCUUAAAUUUAAAUAGAAGAAAAUAUGUUUUAUAAAAUAUAUGUAAAUAUAUUUUAAAAUAUAUUACAAAAAUAUAUGUAAAUAUUCGAUUUUGGCCGCUUUUUAAUAUUUUCCACAUAUAUUAAACAUAUGUAAAUAUAUUUUUAUUGGAAAUAUUUACAUAUAUUUAUUUCCCAUAUAUGUAAAUACAUUUAGAUAUCAGACUAUGUAAAUAUAUUCAUUUGGAAUAUAUGUCUAUAUAUUAAUUUCUAAUAUUUGUUAACAUAUUACAUUUCAGUACAUGUAAAUAUAUUACAUUUAUAUAUAUAUAUAUGUGUAAAUAUAUUUUAUAUUGUAAAUAUUUACAUAUAUUUAUUUCCCAUAUAUGUAAAUACAUUUAGAUAUCAGACUAUGUAAAUAU
ensembl:lncRNA